GGGCCCGCACAAGCGGUGGAGCAUGUGGUUUAAUUCGACGCAACGCGAAGAACCUUACCUGGAUUUGACAUCCCGGGAAUUUUGUUGAAAGACGAAAGUGCCCUUCGGGGAGCCCGGAGACAGGUGCUGCAUGGCUGUCGUCAGCUCGUGUCGUGAGAUGUUGGGUUAAGUCCCGCAACGAGCGCAACCCUUGUCUUUAGUUACCAUCAUUCAGUUGGGGACUCUAAAGAUACUGCCCCGGUCAACGGGGAGGAAGGUGGGGAUGACGUCAAGUCCUCAUGGCCUUUAUGUCCAGGGCUACACACGUGCUACAAUGGGCGGUACAAAGGGUCGCAAGCCCGCGAGGGUGAGCCAAUCCCAAAAAAAGCCGUCCCAAGUUCGGAUUGGAGUCUGCAACUCGACUCCAUGAAGCUGGAAUCGCUAGUAAUCGCGGAUCAGCAUGCCG
rnacentral:rRNA from 1 species